rnacentral:rRNA from 1 species
UGCGGUAUUUUAACUGUACUAAGGUAGCAUAAUAAUUUGCCUUAUAAAUUGAGGCUAGUAUGAAAGGUUUGACGAAGGUUUACCUGUCUCUUUUUUAUUUAAUAGAAAUUAAUUUUUUAGUGAAAAAGCUUAAAUUCUUCAAAGGGACGAGAAGACCCUAAUGAGCUUAAAUUUUAUUUUAUUAUAUAUAUAUUUUAUAGUAAAAAAGAAAUUUUAGUUGGGGUGAUUAAGGAAUAAAAAUGAAUGAUGUAACUUCCUUAAAUAUAAAAUUGUUAAAUUAAGUAACCAAUUUAUAUUGCUUAUAAUAGAGUUACCAUAGGGAUAACAGCGUAAUUUAUUUAGAGAGCUCAUAUCAAAAAAUAAGAUUGCGACCUCGAUGUUGGAUUAAAGUAACCUUAAGGUGCAGU